UUUUCAGUUUGCAGAGAAACUUGGACAAGGCUGUGUACUUUUCCUGCCCUUUCUUUUACAAACAAUGGCAGGCCAUUACCUGAGCUGGGCUUGUUCUGGAACAGGGCUCACAGACAAGUGACGCACUGAUGCUCGCUCUUAAGCCACUCUACUUUCAAAUAGUGGUUCUGGCUCAGAAGCUUGAGAAGACUCUAACAUGAACACAGAGUUGAUAUUCAGAAGCAUGUGACUGGGGCGGACAGGUUCUGAGCUGCAGCAUCUGGUGUGUCAAUACAGAAUGACACUGGAAACGUUCAGCGAUUGGCUAUCAAGUUUGCUACGAACUUCCUCUGCGAACCGUGGCCUGCUGCAGAACGCACAGUGGUUUUCACGUCUGUGAAGAGUUGUACAAAACAGAAGAGCACGCAGUGGGGACUAUCAGUGAGCCUCAGGGUAGAAGAGAUUCACUGUCUGGUCCUUUACAGAAAGAGUUUGCUGGCUCCUGUUCCACAGGACAGAAGGCGGCACUGGUCCCGAUGAGCAGGCAAAGGACAAUUUAACUCUCCCCACGCCGGUGUCGAGUACAGUGCCUGCCACGGUAAAUGCAUUCCUGCUUAAACAUGAAGCAACAUAACUUCCUAAGAGAAAAGGAUCUCACAGAAAGUCUGAAAUUGCAACACAUUCUCCCAUUUUCAGACCUCCCCAGCAGGUGAUUUGUGGGAAUGGUCAGAAAGGAAGAACUUAGGACCUAGGGAAGGAGUUUUACAAUCGAGUCUCCUCAGGAACUUGGGUUUUUCUCCAUCUUUCAAUGGGGUUUUAUUUGAUCACUGUCUAUAGUUUAUAGCCUUCAUUCCUCGAAAUACCCAGAAUUAAGGGAAAUGAGAUAUGUAGCCUGAAGCUAUUGUUGUCUUUCAACCUUUAAAAUUCUAGCCUUU